AAAGCCAACAUUCAUAUAGGAGCAUGACUGAAAUAUAAUAGAUAUUUCAAAAAUUAUAGGAGACGUGAUUUGUUUAAAAAUAUGGAUGUAUUAUUGAAAAAUACGUACGUAUGUGUCUAAUAGAAUAUUAAAAUGGGGAAAAUAAAGACUCGGGUAAUGGCUUGUGGAUAGUGUUAUAAACCACUCUUAUCGAUAAAUGAAAAUCACAGAAAAAAUUUAAAAGAAAAAAAGGAUCCCACUAUAUAUAUUAAUUUUUUUUAAAAAUAGAAUAUCUAAUUGUAUAGCGGUGCGGCUAUACGCUAUAAAUACAAUAUAAUGACUACGAGAUAGAAUGGAUCUCCUUGAAUUCAUUCGAAGACGACCGUCUUCUAGCCCCUCUCUCUCACUCAGAUAACCGGAGACCUCUCUUCUUCAAUCCUCAUCUCUCUCUCUCUCUCUCUCUCUCUCUCUCUCUCUCUCUCUCUCAUAGCACCAUCGUCAUCUCAUCCCUGACCUUGGAGAUUCCAAAACGGGUUUUUUUUCCUAGGGGCAAGCGCCUGCCUAGACCGCCUAGCGCCUGCCUAGACCGCCUAGCGCCCGCCUAGUGACCGCCUAGCAACUGCCUAGACUGCCUAGCCCGCUUAGCCCGCCUAGCCCCAGCCUAGCCCGCCUAGGCCAUUUAUUUAUUUUCCUAAGCCUAGGCCAUUUAUUCAGUAAUGUUAACAAUAUGAGUGAGUGUGUUCAAGGAUUUAACUUGUAAAGAAGAUUUCCGAACAACAACAGAUAACCCAGAGAAGUUUCAUGGAGUUAUCCCAAUGGUGGCUGUUGGCCAACACUGCUGUGGUUGCUUACUGCAGCAUGUAUCAAGACGGGGAGGCCUCAGACUGCUAAGAGAGCAAUUGAACAGGUGAAGCAGCGGCUCUCAAAAGACGGGUGGCCAGAAUACUAUGAUGGCAAGGCAGGGAGAUAUAUCGGGAAGCAAGCAAGGAAGUACCAGACCUGGAGCAUCUCAGGAUAUCUGGUAGCUAAACUGAUGAUCGAGAACCCAGCCAGUCUUUCACUAAUCUCGCUUGAAGGGGACAAGAAGAUAGCCAAGCCAAGGCUCACCCGCUCCACUUCCUUUUGAGUCAAACCAGUGGCAGCAGCAUACAUGAUGCAUUACAGAUUCAGAGGGCGACAGAGUCUGCUGAAGGUUGUGUGAAAGACUUCAUCUUUGGAUCAAAAAGGCAACCUGAAAGAGAAAUUGAGAAGCUGGCCCUUAACAGUGCAAAGGAAUAUCAUUAGUCUUUUUUUUGAAAACAAAAAAUUGAACAUCCUUAGUUAAAUAGGCAGUUAACAAUGUAUUGAGAAUGAUUCUACUGUUCUUGUUAGUUUUAUGUGGUGAUAUUUGGAUCUUAUGUGGUGAUAUUUCAUGUUUUGUUUCAUUUCAUGUAUGAUCUUCACAUUCUGCUGAGAUAAAACCAAAUUCAGUAUGGAUAUGAUUCUUGGG